ACUGAACAACCAAGCUGAAACGAAGGAGCUCGGCGGCCUCCCAAGCCCGGGCCAGACCCCGCUCCCCAGCCCGGGCUCGCCCUCCCUGACCGCGGACUCACCAGCUGCAAGCCCUUGAGAACGCGCCGGAGCAAUGGGAGCCGGCCCAUGAAAAAGUAGGCAGCGAGGCCGCUCCGGGGGCCUCUGGCGGGGCCCGGGUCCUCCUCCGUAGUGGGGCUGUACACCGCUCCGUUCUCCAUCGCCUCGGGCCGGGGAGCGCGGCGGCCGCAGCAACCGCGCCGUUGACUUCUCGGACUCCAGAAGUCCCCGGUAGCCGGGAGGCGGCCGUCACUUCCUGGGCCUUCUCCCCGGCUUCCGCCUGACUCCGCCCCUUCCCGCCCCCGCCCUUGGCCCGCCCCGCCCCCUCUCAGCAAAUUUGCUUGUUAGCUGUUGGGAUUCUUCCGACUUUCAUCCAAGAAUUGAGUUCUUUCUGUGAGCCUUUGAUGGAUUUCUCACCUCCCUCCAUCUUUCAUCCUCCUGACAUUCAUUCACUUAGUAUUUUUGCGUACUUUCGGUGUGCAGUGAACCCCGUUCUAGGUACUUGGGUGACAGCCAAGUACUACCCAAAAUCACAGGAUCCCUAGUAACAGAGACAGACAAUAAACAAGAAAACAGAUGGAUAGCAAUUUCAGAUAGUGAUAAGUGACGUGAAAAUAUGAUACGAAAAUAAUGGAUUCAGCAUUUCUGGUGGCUUGAUAAAUUUAUUAAAAAAAAAAAGAAGAUGGAGGAGGAGGAGAAGAGGAAGGAGAAGGAAAAAAGGAUGGAGAAUUGGGUGCUCUACUUAAAUGGCCACUACUAAACUGAGUGGUCAGGAAAGGCCUCUCUGAGGACCAUGAUCUUUGAAUUGAAUGAGACUCAAAGUGUGAGAAGCCAGGCUUGUAAAGUUCUGGGGAGAGCCUUUCACGAAAGUGCAAAUGUCCCGAGGACCAAAUGAGUUUGACUCAAUCUGAAGCCCAAAGGCCUGUGUCGCUAGGAAUAAGUACGGGAGGAAAGGAGAUGUUGGAGAUGUAGGCAAAGGCCAGAUAAUGUGGAGGCCUUGCAGACCAAGGGAAGAAUUCGUAUUUCAUUUGAAGUACAAUGAGUUGUCUGUAAGGACUUUCAGAAUCGCUCCCUCCCGCGUCUCCCGAAAUUCCAUUUAGGCUCACUUUUCAAAAUCAUUUCCUUUUUCUCUUUCUUGGUCACCAACUGCUACAGUCACAUAUGU
rnacentral:lncRNA from 1 species